rnacentral:rRNA from 1 species
UAAAUCAGUUAUGGUUCACUAGAUCGUACAGUUUACAUGGAUAACUGUGGUAAUUCUAGAGCUAAUACAUGCAUCGAAUCCGUACCCUCGUGGUGCGGAUGCAGUUAUUUGCCCAAAACCAAUCCGGCCUUCGGGUCGGUCAAUUGGUGAUUCUGAAUAACCGAAGCGGAGCGCAUGGUCUCGUACCGGCGCCAGAUCUUUCAAGUGUCUGACUUAUCAGCUUGUUGUUAGGUUAUAUUCCUAACAAGGCAUCAACGGGUGACGGGUGUUUAGGGACAGACACCGGAGAGGGAGCCUGAGAAACGGCUACCACAUCCAAGGAAGGCAGCAGGCGCGCAAAUAACCCACUCCCGGCACGGGGAGGUAGUGACGAAAAAUAACGAUGCGAGAGCUUAAUGCUCCUCGUAAUCGGAAUGGGUACACUUUAAAUCCUUUAACGAGGAUCUAUUGGAGGGCAAGUCUGGUGCCAGCAGCCGCGGUAAUUCCAGCUCCAAUAGCGUAUAUUAAAGUUGCUGCGGUUAAAAAGCUCGUAGUUGGAUCUGGGUAGUCGAUGGACGGUGCGCUUUACGGCGUCUACUGUUCGUUCGGCACCACAUGCCGGCCAUGUCUUGCAUGCUCUUCACUGAGUGUGCUUGGCGACCGGAACGUUUACUUUGAAAAAAUUAGAGUGCUCAAAGCAGGCGUUAAGCCUUGCAUAAUGGUGCAUGGAAUAAUAGAAUAGGACCUCGGUUCUAUUUUGUUGGUUUUCGGAGCUCGAGGUAAUGAUAAAGAGGAACAGACGGGGGCAUU